rnacentral:tRNA from 1 species
GAGGGUAUAGCUCAGUGGUAGAGCAAAUCGUUGGCGUGCAUGAGGUCCUGGGUUCAAUCCCCAGUACCUCCA